rnacentral:rRNA from 1 species
CGGACGGGUGAGUAAUACUUAGGAAUCUGCCCAUUAGUGGGGGACAACAUUCGGAAACGGAUGCUAAUACCGCAUACGCCCUACGGGGGAAAGCGGGGGAUCUUUUAGACCUCGCGCUAAUGGAUGAGCCUAAGUCGGAUUAGCUUGUUGGUGAGGUAAUGGCUCACCAAGGCAACGAUCCGUAGCUGGUCUGAGAGGACGAUCAGCCACACUGGGACUGAGACACGGCCCAG